GGACAAAGAAGUGAGUGAUUCCAAUUUCAGUAAGAGCCACGAAGCUAAGAGCCACAGGUUGUUGUGCCACAGAAUCAUGACUGCAUAUAGGUUUGUGUUUGGGAAAUCUGAUUUACAUGGGCUUGUCAGAGAAGGCCUCUCUGGGGAGACAGUGUUGAAGUGAUGACUGAAGGAUGAUAAGAACUAGUUCUUUGCAGAGUGAAGGAGGCGGAGGAGGAGGAGGUCAGCAUAUGCAAGGAUCUGAGGCAAGAAAGAGUUUAGUUACUCAAGGAACUUAAGAAAGCUCCAAGGGGCUGGAGUGUGGAGAGGGUGUUAAAGGGAGAGGCCAAAUCACGAAGGGCUUUGCAAGCCACUUAAAGUUUGAGCUUUCCUCUAAAAGCAAAAGGAAAUUUUGAACUAAAGGCAUUUAAGCAGAAAUGCAGAUGUGUGUGUGUGUGUGUGAGAGAGAGAGACAGAGGGAGGGAGGGAGGGAGAGAAAGUGAGGGAGAGAGAGAGAGAGUGAGCAUGGAGAGGUUUCAAUCUUAGAGAGGUUGCCCUGGCAGCAGUGUGAAGGGUGGUUUAUGUGACCAGCCCUGUGAAGGCUGCAUGGUGGGAGCCUGCGGAGGAGGUGGUGGUGAGCACAUGGUGGGAGCCUGCGGAGGAGGUGGUGGUGAGCACAGCUGUCUGGUCAGAACUUUUGUUCUGUUGUAGGUGAAGUGAGAGCCCUGCAUAGAGCUCGUGGUGUGGUGUGCCCACCUGGAGGGUGGGGCUUGUGGGGAAGAAGCUCAAGGCGAAAAUAAAGAACUGUUUCAGGAAGGAGUAAGCACCUCAGAUUCGGAGCCACUGGUCCCCCUCAAUGUCUUGCUGUCUCCUCUGGGGACCUGGAAAGUCACCUGACACUAGAGACACUAGACACCGGGAAGAGGGGAGGGAAGAGAAGCUCUAUUUGGAGGAGGCACCUGAGAAGAUGAUAGAAUGGCUAUUGCUGAUUCCUGGAAUGCUGUUUGGAAAAGACUACAAAGAGAGUGAUUCUUCAUCAGUGAUUAAGCAUCUUUUCAUGGUAGGAACACCCAGAUGGGGUUCAUUUUGAUGAUAUAAUUUACCUGCAUGCUUGGAGAGCUUUAAUCAAAUGAAAUACAUUGUUAAAAAUGUUAUAUAAAAUACGUGCUACUUGGAUAGAGCUGUGAUUCUUUGGAAGUAGAGAAAUGCAUCUUGUCGCAUUGGGAUUUUGUUAAUCUCUGGAUUUCCUCAACUUUCCCUCUGACUUGUUUCUCAAUUUUCCUGCUUCCAAUGUGAUGAAAUGACAUUGGCCUCACAAUUACCUACUGAUCCAUUACGCAUUUAUGUGAGGCACCAUGGAGACAGGUACUUGUUUCUUCUUGAUGGGUUGUCUAGGAAGCCUUGGGCCUUUCAGAAUCAACAAGGAUUUUAUGUUUGACUGAUUCUUGCUCAGAGUGGCUAGUAUUUGUCAUAUUCUCCUCAGAGAGAAUUUGGAAGUCCACCUCAUCUUUUGCUAGGGAGGCGAGGGUCAGCACAGACAAGCAUCUCUCGUUUCCACUCAGCUCGUGCUCUGACACGGGCUCUCCCUCAGUGCCACACCCCAUGUCUCCCCGUCUCUGAGCAGGCCUAUGUAGGAAGGUGCAAAGAUAAGUUAACAAAGGAUGGUAGCCCUGAUCAGAGGCCUUCAGUUAAACCUCCUUCCUGCAGGUCUCUGCAUAGAGUGAGAAGCAACUUGACUGGGCCGCACAUACAGAAGAGAGGAAGGGAGGGUGGAAAGAGGUCCCAUGUAGGGAGAAGACUAUAACCAUGUGAUAUGGUUUGGCUCUGUGUCCCCACCCAAAUCUCAUAUUGAAUUGUAAUCCCCCAGUGUUGGGGGAGGAAGCUGGCGGACGGUGACUGGAUGAUGGGGGCAGUUUUUCCCCUUGCUGUUCUGGUGAUAGUGAGUGAGCUCUCUUGAGAUCUGGUUGUUUAAAAGUGUGUAGCAAUUCCCCCUUCACUCUCUUCCUCCUGCUCUGCCAUGUGAAGAAGUUGAUUGUUUUCUCUUUACCCUUCCGCGAUGACUGUAAGUUUUCUGAGGCCUCCCCAACCAUACUUCCUGUACAGCCUGCAGAACUGUGAGUCAAUUAAACCUCUUUUCUUUAUAAAUGACCCAGUCUCAGGUAGUUCUCUAUAGCAGUGUGAGAAUGGACUAUACACAAUGCUCCUAGCUUGUAUCUCUUCCCCUACCCAACUUUCCUUCAAUGAAAGAAUGGUAAAAAUAGACAUUCUAAACUCCUGCCAAAUAAUGGCAAUACAGCAGUUGCAUUUUUUUCUUCAGAACAAAUAAGUAUUAGAAUGCUUGGAUGAAAUAAGUCUUUAUUCCUACUUCUCCCUGACCCCACCAAAUAACUUCAUACUGUGAAAAAUUGUGCUACUAGUUAUAUGUUCUUGAAUAUUCAUGUAUUGAAUAUAUAACUCUGUGAUCUAUGAAGAUGAUUUGAGUGAUUGUAUCAGGUUGUAAUUUAUCACUUGACUUUAUAAUAUUUAGUCACAUAUGACCAAUUAAAUUACCCAACCUGACAAAAAUGUAUAGUGUGGUGCU
rnacentral:lncRNA from 1 species